AGAAUUACAGAAACGGGGUAUAGCAAGGUAUAUUUAUUUUAUAAGGUAGUGUUAAGGGCGAAUUCAAAAAAACUUGGGCGAAUCGAAAUACAACACUGUACAGUAUUUGUUUUUGUUUAGGCGAAUUCUGGUGUAGGCACAAUGUCAAAAACAGCUGAUUUAUAAUAUGAGGCGAAUUUGUAAAAAUUAAAAAAAAAAGUUGUUUGUAAAUAAAAGAUUUUUUGAAAUAUAAUAAAAUUGUUAAAAUUCUUCGAACACUCUUCGGUCUAGACAAGAAAAUGCUAAAAUAACGUUUGUCGGCUGAUCAGUGGAAGGCUUGUUUGGCAGACCUCACUCCAUUUUUCUCUUUUUUUAAUGUCUUUGGGCACAUUAAAAAAUGUCCCACCUCCAGCCUCCACUUUCUUCCCACAUAUUUUGCAACAACGCAUUGUUUUUUUUUUAAUUUCACAAUAAUAACACUUUUAUCACUCACAA